ACCUGGGUGGUCCAGUCAUUAGGACUCUGCACUUUCACUGCUGUGGCCUGGGUUCAAUCCCAGGUCUGGGAG
rnacentral:tRNA from 1 species